GAUAUUUGCCCGGUAGACUGACAGUCC
rnacentral:sRNA from 1 species